UUACCUAUACGACUCAUAGAUAAGGUAUUUUUGGUAGGUAAAAAUUGUCAUUUGAAUCAGUCAUUUUCAUGUGACGUGCCGUCAUGUUGGCACAAUACAUAUUUUUAUACCCACUUAAAUUAUGUUUAAGUUAAAAUUAAUUCUUUGGAUAGUUUUUUUUAGCAUUUUACAAAUAUGCGCGGCAUCCUACGCGUACCAACUAUGGACCCGCGAUACUUUAAAGGCGGAAGAGCCAUUAUAUCCCACUGAAGGAGACACCACCUUAUCAAAAGUUAUUGUGGCCAAUAUUGUAAUUCCGAUAAAGGAUUUGUUUUGUAAUCUAUACACAAAUUUUAUUGUGGUUUACCAUUGUAUUGUCGAAACUGCAGAUAACAUUGGAGAAAAAGUACAGCCUCCCCAAGGACCCAGCUUUUACUUAGAAAAAACCCUUAACCUACUAGGCCUGGUAUCUGAACAACCAAGUAUAUCCCAAAGCUGUUCUUACUACUCUUUCGUGGUAGUAAUUAUAUGUUUAGCUACUCUGUUCAGUCUUAUUUAUGCAACCAAGAAACUAGUCGAAUACGUCAAAGAAGAAGAAAAAAUAAUUCCACAUAUCUUAGGUGAUUUUACAGAUAAUAAAUGCUCUUGUUGUCAAGAAAAAAAUGAAGAAACUGAAUAAAUUCAUGUAGUGUUUUUUAAA